UACGAAGGGGGCGAGCGUUGUUCGGAAUUACUGGGCGUAAAGGGCGCGCAGGCGGCUCUGUAAGUCAGAUGUGAAAGCCCCGGGCUUAACCUGGGAACUGCAUUUGAUACUGUGGAGCUUGAGUGUGGGAGAGGAGAGUGGAAUUCCCAGUGUAGAGGUGAAAUUCGUAGAUAUUGGGAAGAACACCGGUGGCGAAGGCGGCUCUCUGGACCGCAACUGACGCUGAGGCGCGAAAGCGUGGGGAGCAAACAGG
rnacentral:rRNA from 1 species